rfam:Fukomys damarensis contig134346, whole genome shotgun sequence.
AUGAGGAGUUAAGAGUUCAUUCAGAUGUCCAGAUGUACCAAGUACCCAGUUAUUUGGCAAUAAAUACAUCUGGGCAACUGAUUGAAUUUUUCGCUUUUCAU